AUCUAAGCCAAAAGAAGAGAAGAAAGAAGUCCUUCAGGAACAGCAUCCCCUGGCCUCGCUCCCUGCUCACCACUACCUACCCCUGUCCACCUUCCCUAAAGGCACCAAGGAGGUCUCAGGGGUUCUAGGAGAACCCUGGGAGAGCUCCAAGAGUAGUCAGGUGGGGUCUGGGAAGCAAUUCCUGCCAAGGAGCCGAGAUUCAGUGAAGGGCUUCCUCUUACUUAGUGUACGGACUAUGGCUUCCGGGUCAUCCUGAGACGGCCUCACAGCCACCAACCGGCUCCCGAUCUGCUGGCACAGACUGCAAAGAGCAGGGCCACAUUCCUGUUCUGUGGGUCUAUCCCAAGGGCUGACAGAAGUGAGGGAAAGCUCGGCCAGAGCAGGACCUGGCACGGCAAACCCCACAGGCUUUUGUUCUGGGUUCCUAAGCAGGGGAGGUUCGGGCUGGUGUGUAAUUACUGAAGGAAGGAAGACGUGUUAAUUCCAUCCUUGCUAGCCCCGACAGCUCAGGCCCUGGGCCUCCCCGGGUGCAGGUUCACAGAGGUCACUGGCCACCCUCUCCAGGCUCACUGGCAGGCACAGGGCAAGGCCAGGAGGCCCGGGGCAGCCAGGAGGCCUGUCUGUUUUUCUGCAGGGCAGGGAAAUUCUCGGUUCUCGGUGGCGGGAUGGGAGGUGCAGGCCACAGCCACACAGAGGACACAGAUACAGGAAACCAGAAGCUCCAUUUUGUUCUGAGAGUUGGAACACCACCCUCCUCACUCAGUGCCCCAGGAGGAAGUGAGCCCGGCCCCCAGUGGGGGAGGGUGACCUGCUUCUUCUUCUUCCCUACUUUCGCUUCUCUGAUUUCAUUGGAGCAACCGCUCAGAGCCCAGCUUGAUUGGCUGUCUGUGUUGCCAGGGCUCAGGAGGAGAGCCCCGGCUGGAGGAGGGAGGAUGUGGUGGUAGUCACCUGUGAACCCAGACAACCAUGGUAACAAAACAGCUUGGGACAAACAGGGCCGCCAGAGCGACUCCCCAGAACAACGGGUUCAAGAGCGCCUCGGGGGCAUCGCCGGAUCCACGUGCCUUUGAGUCUCGGCCCCUGGGGCUCAGCGAGACAGACACCAAAUGGCAAAUGUCCCAGGCUCUGCCAGGGCCCUUCACAACGGGAACCCGUUCACGCCCAUUAAACAGUUCUGAGAUGCUCCGAACAGUCCCCUUCUAAGCAUCAGUGACAUGAGACAGGAGCCCAUGGCAUUUCGGCCUGAUCUCGAGCUAAGGGGAGCGUGGUGUGAAACCCAGAAAGAUGAAGUCUCAGUUGCUUUCCAAACCAAAAACACGUGGCUCAGCCGCCAUUGUGAGUGCUGCUUAGGGGUUUCCAAACCCCUUGAGGGUUGGGUAUAGAGGCAAAGAUCACCUGUACUAAAGCUCCUACUACAGGUAAAACCCAGGCCUAGAAAGCUAACUGUGCUAGGCAUGGUGCUGCAUGCCAUUAGUUCUCCCUGGCCUUGGGAGGCAGGCAGAUCUCUGAGUUCAAGGCCAGUCUGGGCUACAUAGGCCAACCAAAGGCAUGUGGUGAGACCCUGACCACACCCAAACAAAACAGAACAAAACAAAACAAAACAAAAACUGUUUUACAGGACCAGACAAGUAACCACCAGAGGUAGUAAAAAACUCACACCCAAUUUCUAAUCUCACAGGGAUGGUCCAGGAACUGAGUCUGGUCCCUGGCACCCAUAUGGUAGAAGCUGUCUUCUGACCUCCAUCAGCAUGCCCUGGCCCCCACGUCACUCACACACACACACACACACACACACACACACACACACACACACACACAAAACACAAACAAAUACACAACCAAACGCCCAAUAAGCUCCUGCCCCCUCAGCUGCUGACUGCCAGGGCCCCCCAGAACCAGUUCCGCCCCACUUGGGUUAGGCUCUGCCUUUAGACACCGCAGUCCGCCAUCUUUGAGGGCCAGAAGGUGACCAGGAUGACAAGUGCUUACUGAACUGUGAAGAGCCACUUGCUAGGGUGGAGGAGGGUAUUGUGUGAUGGUCCUGCUGACUGCAGCCCCAGGCCCGAGAGGGGACCGUGGGCUUCCUUAGCCUGGCUCUUACCUGGUGCGGAGCUUUGAGGUCUCACACUGAGGCCUCCAGGAUCAAGCUUCUCUAAAGGUGUCCCGUUCUUCAAAGCUGCCAGUGGCUAUCAUGGCCUGAUCCCCGCGGUUUUCCAUAGAAAGUGGCUGGGAGACGGAACUCUUAAAGAUCAUACUAUGUGUCCUGUGGGCGAGAGGCAAAAAGCCACGUUUAGAAAGGGAUGUUCUCUUUGCAGGACCACAGCCUACAAAGGACGGGUCACCUGCCACACAAGCCCUUUCAGACAGCUUCGCUGGGAGGGACCCAAGGCCGGUUUCACUUAGGGCAGCCAGGAUCUAGUUAAGGGCACCCUGGGGCAGAGCGGGGUGCCUGGACUCAGGAGUCUUUCCUCCCACACUGGGUGAUUUCCAAAGUUCUUUCCCCACAGUUGUGGAGAUAGGCAGCCUCGCUGUGCUGGGAAACAGUCUCUUGACUGUUGAGCGGAGCACUGUGUCUCUUUGUGUGCGGUCAUGAUAAGGCCGGCUCAGUCCCUCUGUGUCCCUACUCCCACCUCUGGCCUCCGGCAGAUUGGAGAGUCUGACAGUGGCCAAUUAAUCUCCAAGCCUCCUCCAGGCACAAACAACCCCAGAAACAAGAACAGGCUUUAGGGCACAUGGCCCAGAGAAGCCUGGUGACAAUCGGUCUGGUCUUCGCUGACGUGGAAGGUGUGCGUUGCAUGUCGUCCCCCACCCCCACCCCCACGCCCCACGCCGAGGGGAAGGAGUGGAUGCAUAAAGGCUAACCUACAACCAAAGGGACGCCAGAGACAAAGAACAAAGAGACUUAGUAGGAGGGAAGAGACAGAAAGGAACAAGAGAGGGCAGGCUAGGACUCCAGGGAAGGGAAAUCAAAGGGCAAAGAGAGAUGGAGAGGGAAGGAACAGGUGAGGCCGGCGCGGGGCUGGGGCCACGCUCACCGGACCGCAGGAGAACACGGGAGUGGGGGGCGGCUGUGUCCGACGGCGGCGGGCGAGUGACGGCUGCCCAGGAAGCGCUCGAUCCGAAGGCACUGCGGGCGGGGCUGACAGUGGCUGCGAACCCACGGCUGCAGAACUUAAGUCUCGCGGGCGUGGUCGGGGCGUGGUGUGGCCGGGGCGGAGCCAGGGUGGCCCACUCUCCCGGGUGAAGGGGGAGUUUCCAUCCGUGGUUGUGUGGGCGUCUAGUGUCACCCCUGCUUCCGCGAGGGCAGAUGGCCGUGUGGGUCCCCCGGUCUCCCCAGAGGGUCCCGGCCUCUGGUCCCCAGGCCUCCACUCUCAUUGUGAGGAUAGCCAGACUGACUGGCCCCCUGCUGUGGCUCGCGGACCCCCCACGCCCUGCAAGCCACCUGCGGACGGGGCGGAGCGCGGGCUCCAGGGACCGGAACCACCCCGGGCGCGGCGGUGGGGUGAGGCUGGGGUUCCCGCCUUCUGCCGCUCCCGUCUGGUCCCUGGGGGCCCGGGCACCUAACGGCUGGGGUGGGGCGAGUGCACCCGGCCUCACCUCCUCCUCUCUGCACCGACCGCAGCCAGGCCGGCGCCCCGCAAGGAAGAGGGCAGAGCCCGGGUGCUGCAUUCCGAGCCCGGGGGAUGACAGGCUCAGCAGGUGUCCACGUAGGGGUGACGGACACGAAAACAACACUCGAGCCCUGUGUCCGCGACCAACGUACAUUGUGAGAGGAGGAAGCAGGUCUCAGUUGGUCUUUGGACUGUGUUCCUGCUUUGGACAGGAAACUGUACCAGGCCCCCAGACCUUAGCACAGCUGACUCCAUGAUGGAAGUACCAUUCAGGCUGUAAAACUCAGAACCGAGCUGAGCACCCAGACAGCACCACCAGCCAAAAUGGAAAUAAAGACCUAAUCCAUCAAAGCCCACAGUUCUUCACAAGUCUCUAAAUAGACUAACCUUGUUUCUCGGCUUCUGUCGUUCUGUUUCUGGUUGUUUUUGUUAACUGAAGUAUGUCAACUCCAAACCGUUUUUUGUGCUUAAAAGCUCACCCAGAGAAAGGUUCAGUGCUACACUAGGAUAGCUACCCAGUGUAGCUGGCUAAUAAAGACUUUCUAUUGGCCUGUCGGUCUGAGCAGUCUUCUCCAGUGGAUCCCCCACAACAAAACCAAAUCCAAAGAGAUGAAAUCCCUUGCCUAAUGGCACACAGUGGCACACUCUGGCUUAAACUCUGGCCACUUGGAAACCAGGUAGAUAAUGUUCUGUCCGUCCAAAGCAGAAACAAGGAUACAGAAGGUAAGGCAGAAAAUGAUUUCCAUCACUGUGGCUGGAGUCACCUGGCUGGUCAACUUUUGCUCUGGAUUCUGACUCUGGCUGUGGUGAAGGAACCGCCAGGAUUCUUGGCGAAUUUGUGGUGGAGAGGGAGAUCAAGAUGGAUCCAGACUAGGCUGUCUGGCCAGUGAAGCCCAGCAUCCUCCUGUGUCUGCCUCCUCAGCAUUGAGAUUAUUCGAUUGUGGGAGUGCAGGGGAUUCGAACUCAGGUCUCCAUGCUUUUGCCACAGAGCACUUUACUGACUGAGCCAUCUCCCCGUCAGCCCAUGCUUCUUUUUAUGUGGCCCAGGUUUGAGUGGACCUGGGAAGUAGAGGCUGUAACCAGUGUGGUUCUCUUCUGAUGGCUGAAGCUGCUGGGUGCGGCAUUCGGCUACUUGGUCAGUACCUGCCAAAGCCUUCGCCUAUGUUGGCUGUAGUGGUAACGGCCUUGGAGCAAACCCCUGUGUCUGCCCCAAAGCAGGCGAGAUCAGAGCCCAGUUGGAAUUGCUACUGCUGUCCCCAAGUCUGGUAGACAUGUGAGCCAUGUUGCUGCUACUCCUCAAGUGAAAC